rnacentral:rRNA from 1 species
GACGAACGCUGGCGGCGUGCUUAACACAUGCAAGUCGAGCGGACAGGCCCUGCUUUUGUUGGUUUGUCGAGUGGGGAAGGGGUGUGUAACACGUGAGUAUCCUGUCCUUGUCUUUGUGGUAUCUUCUGGAGACUGGGGCUAUUACAGGAGAGAAUCUACUGCUGCAUGUGGUUGGUUGGUAAAUUUCGGCUGUUGGGGCUGUUAUCGCUGCUUCUCAGCUUGUUGGUGUGGUAGUUGCUUACCAAGCCUUUGACGGAUAGCCGGCCUGAGAGGGUGACCGGCCACAUUGGGACUGAGAGAGGGCGCAGACUCCAACGGGAGGCAGCAGUGGGGAAUAUUGCAGAACGGGGGGAAGCCAGAUGCAGCAACGUUGGGAGCGGGAUGACGGCCUUCGGGUUGUAAACAGAUUUCGAAGGUGACGAAGAGUGAGUGACGGUAAUGGGUAAAGAAGCACCGGCUAACUACGUG